rnacentral:rRNA from 1 species
UAAUACGGGGGGGGCAAGCGUUGUUCGGAUUUACUGGGCGUAAAGGGCGCGUAGGCGGUUUGUUUAGUCGAAUGUGAAAACUCCGGGCUCAACCCGGAGCCUGCAUCCGAUACUGGCAGACUAGAGUGCGAGAGGGGAAAGCGGAAUUCCUGGUGUAGCGGUGAAAUGCGUAGAUAUCAGGAGGAACACCGGCGGCGAAGGCGGCUUUCUGGAUCGCAACUGACGCUGAGGCGCGAAAGCUAGGGGAGCAAACAGGAUUAGAUACCCUGGUAGUCCUAGCCCUAAACGAUGGAUACUUGGUGUGGGAGGGUUUGAUUCUCCCGUGCCGGAGCUAACGCGUUAAGUAUCCCGCCUGGGGAGUACGGUCGCAAGGCUG